UACGUGAGGGUGCGGGCGUUAAUCGGAAUUACUGGGCGUAAAGCGUGCGCAGGCGGCGCGUUAAGAACAGGUGUGAAAGCCCCGAGCUUAACUUGGGAAUUGCGCUUGUGACUGGCGUGCUGGAGUGUGGCAGAGGGAGGUGGAAAUUCCACGUGUAGCAGUGAAAUGCGUAGAGAUGUGGAGGAACACCGAUGGCGAAGGCAGCCUCCUGGGCCAGCACGUGACGCUCAUGCACGAAAGCGUGGGGAGCAAACAGG
rnacentral:rRNA from 1 species